UAAAAAAUUUAACCUAAGCAAAAACCUAAGUAGAGAACUAAUUGGAAAGUUCCAGAGGCAUUUUCAGUUUUCCCUCUUAGCUUUCCCUCUCAACUUUCCGUCUCAACUUUCCCUCUCAUCCCUUUCUCUCUCGAUCAUAAACCACUAUCAUCGAGCCAUUCUCAACUUUCCCUCUCAUCUCUUUCUCUCUCGAUCAUAAACCAUUAUCAUCGAGCCAUUCUUCAUUGUCUCUUCUCGUCAUUUUCAUAUUCUCAUCGAGCCAUUAUUCUGGAGCAUUUCCCCUCCAUCAUCUGGAAUCUUANGUGAAAACAUAGUUUGGACUCCUUGAAGCUUCCUCCACGAGUAAAUGCAACAGAAUGUAAGAACAACAGUGAACAAUGAGACGACGAUAGAUUCGAUGAAGGACCUUAGGAAGAGAACUCGAAAGAGGAGGAAUGCGUCUGGGAAACCCUAGGUUCGUGAUGAUACUCUAGGAGCGAGAAGGAUUCGAAGCAGAGUGAAAAAUAGGAAGAUUGUUCGGUAAGAAAUAUGAUUUCGGUCACGUGUUCGGUGAAAAAGGAAGAUUCAACGGCUGAAUCGGUGAAACGGUGCCAAAAUGAGGAUGUAAUCGGUGGAUUCGGUGGAGAAGGUUGUAACGAGGAUGAAUCAAGUCGCAAGAUGUGAUUCGGUGAUGUGAAUCACGGAGAUGAAGGCUCUGUGAGAGUGAUUAGGUGAGGAGAUUCACGAGCUCGAGAAAAAGCUAGGUUUAGCUUUUCUGGUUCUACUCCAUUCAUUUCAAUUCCAUUUCUAAUUUCAUAUAAAAAAUAGAAACACACUCUUUUUCAUUUCAUUUCUCAUCUGCAAUUUUCAUUGCCCGCUGAAACCCUUCAUUUUCCCCAAGUGAUGGAUUAGUUUCCGGGAAUUCCUCGCCAAUUAAGGUACCCUGCUUUUACUUCUUGAGCGGUAUUUUAUUCCCAUGACCAAGGAUCAUUUUCGUUACACACAAUUUUUGCUUAGGGAUUGUUGUGUGCAAAUAUAAGGUUGUGAGAUGGAGGAUGGUGAGAAACCCACGGGUAAU